rnacentral:tRNA from 1 species
GUCUCUGUGGCGCAACUUGCCAGGGCAUUCGACUGUUAAUCGAGAGGUUGACAGUUCAAUCCUGUCCGGGGAUG